UGGGGAAUUUUGGACAAUGGGGGAAACCCUGAUCCAGCCAUCCCGCGUGUGCGAUGAAGGCCUUCGGGUUGUAAAGCACUUUUGGCAGGAAAGAAACGUCGCGGGUUAAUACCCCGCGAAACUGACGGUACCUGCAGAAUAAGCACCGGCUAACUACGUGCCAGCAGCCGCGGUAAUACGUAGGGUGCAAGCGUUAAUCGGAAUUACUGGGCGUAAAGCGUGCGCAGGCGGUUCGGAAAGAAAGAUGUGAAAUCCCAGAGCUUAACUUUGGAACUGCAUUUUUAACUACCGGGCUAGAGUGUGUCAGAGGGAGGUGGAAUUCCGCGUGUAGCAGUGAAAUGCGUAGAUAUGCGGAGGAACACCGAUGGCGAAGGCAGCCUCCUGGGAUAACACUGACGCUCAUGCACGAAAGCGUGGGGAGCAAACAGGAUUAGAUACCCUGGUAGUCCACGCCCUAAACGAUGUCAACUAGCUGUUGGGGCCUUCGGGCCUUGGUAGCGCAGCUAACGCGUGAAGUUGACCGCCUGGGGAGUACGGUCGCAAGAUUAAAACUUAAAUGAAUUG
rnacentral:rRNA from 1 species